rnacentral:lncRNA from 1 species
GUAAAACUUUUUCCGAGCAUUUUUGUAGCAGAACUCCAUGUUCUAAUAGCCCCGGCAAAGUUGUUUUUAAUACUUUUUCUCUACGAAUUUUCAUUAAAAUUUAAUUCCAUUUUAACUUUGUCAAUUUUCCCCAAAGAUAAAUUAAGACACACAGAGAGAUUGUCAUUUCCUGUUUGAAGUCUCAUUCCUGUGUACAAUGUCAGUCUUUUUUAUUUAGGCCUAUGCCAUUCCAUCAGGGUAAAUAACUUUCUAACUAGUCAUUUAAGAGCAACUCCCGGGAAACUGUGAUGCAAUCCCACAUAUCAGCCAGACUUCAAAAGCUGCCAGAUUAUUGUGAAAGGAGAAACACUGUUUUCGAAGGCUGCUGAUAAUGCCUAUUAGCCAGAAGAAAGAGCCUGAAUCAUUCAAAGGUUUUCCAUCUAGUAAAGAAGUGUGGUAAAAAUCUUGCCCAGAUCUGCAUGUGCUAAGCAUCUACGUAAGUUGGAGCAUCAUAUUAAUGACACCCAGUGAAGAAACGAAAGAAUGAAGUGUAAUUACUAUAUCAAAAAUCCACAGAAUGUGAAAGUAUAAAGGAAAACUCUCAGGUGAGACUCGAUUAUUUUUAUUUCAAAGAUCUAGGUAAAAAUGUGAACAGAUUGGGAGGCUGAGGCAGGAGAAUCACUUGAACCCAGGAGGCAGAAGUUGCAGUGAGCCAAGAUUGCACCAUUGGACUCCAGCCUGGGCAACAGACAAGACUCUAUCUCAAAAAAAAAAUGUGAACAGAUAUAUUGACAUAAAAUUCAUAAAACAUAUGGAUAUACUAAAAACUAGGAAGUCUGGUUGCUUCUGAGGAUAAGAGUUGAGGACCUGUUUCAAGAAUACUUUGCACAGCUUGUACUAUUGCAGUAUUUGAAUUUUUUCUUGUACAUGUAUAACUUUUUUAAAAAGAAUGAGAAAUGCUGUACAAGUGCAACUAUUUUUACUGUAAGUUUUUAUUUCCAUAAAACUAUAAUUAAGUGUGUGGUCAAUAGAUCCUGUUAUAUAGCUAUGAUAUCCCUUGAAUUUGUUUACCUGGUAACACUAGCUCACGUUUGUAAAUCCUUUGGAACUCCCAAAGCGAUUUUACAUACAUUACCUAAUUUGUAAGAUUACAAAACUAUUACAUUAGCUUUUCUGGUUUUCUUGUCUUAAUACGUGAUUAUCAUAUUAAACUGCAGUGUUUUUUUUUUUCCAUCAAGUCACACACACAAAACAGGAAACCAGCAGUUGUAAUUUCUUCAGCAAUUCUUAAUGUAAGUUUUUAAUAGUUUAGUACUUUUCUUUCAUAAGUAUUGGACCAAGCUGUAAUGGAAUUAUACGACUCAUGCUUUCAGAACAGA